rnacentral:rRNA from 1 species
AGUGGCGCACGAGUGAGUAACGCGUGGGAAGCUACCCAAUCACUCGGGGAAUAACGUUUGGAAACGAACGCUAAUACCGCAUACGCCCGAAAGGGGAAAGAUUUAUCGGUGAUGGAUGUGCCCGCGUUGGAUUAGCUUGUUGUGGGGUAACGGCCUACCAAGGCGAUGAUCCAUAGCUGGUCUGAGAGGACGAUCAGCCACGCUGGGACUGAGACACGGCCCAGACUCCUACGGGAGGCAGCAGCUAAGAAUAUUGGACAAUGGGGGAAACCCUGAAUCCAGCCAUGCCGCGUGAAUGAAGAAGGCCUUCGGGUUGUAAAGUUCUUUUAGUAGUGAAGAUGAUGACAGUAGCUACAGAAAAAGCACCGGCUAACUUCGUGCCAGCCGCGGC